CCUACGGGAGGCAGCAGUAGGGAAUCUUCCACAAUGGACGAAAGUCUGAUGGAGCAACGCCGCGUGAGUGAAGAAGGGUUUCGGCUCGUAAAGCUCUGUUGGUAGUGAAGAAAGAUAGAGGUAGUAACUGGCCUUUAUUUGACGGUAAUUACUUAGAAAGUCACGGCUAACUACGUGCCAGCAGCCGCGGUAAUACGUAGGUGGCAAGCGUUGUCCGGAUUUAUUGGGCGUAAAGGGAGUGCAGGCGGUUCAAUAAGUGUGAUGUGAAAGCCUUCGGCUCAACCGGAGAAUUGCAUCAGAAACUGUUGAACUUGAGUGGAGAAGAGGAGAGUGGAACUCCAUGUGUAGCGGUGGAAUGCGUAGAUAUUAGGAGGAACACCAGUGGCGAAGGCGGCUUACUGGACUGUAACUGACGUUGAGGCUCGAAAGCGUGGGGAGCAAACAGGAUUAGAUACCCCAGUAGUC
rnacentral:rRNA from 1 species